rnacentral:lncRNA from 1 species
AUUUUUCAUGUUUUUGUGUACCCUUUCCCAAAGUUCUUUGUGCUCUUCUACUUUUUCACCAUAAAAACCCUAAAAAACCUUUCCUUAUUACACUCUCUCACUAGUUGGAUGUUUUAGAGAGAGAAAGUGAGAUUUUCAUGAUAGUUUGAAAGCUUUUGGAAAAGAAAUUCAAUUGUAAAGCUACCAAGGUGAGUAGUAAAAUUGAGUUGAUUUUUUUUAAGUUGUUGAGAAUGGCUAGUGGCUAGAUCGGUGAGUGUUUUGUAGUUGAGGUGGGUUAUUCAUUGUAGUGUGACUAGACUAGUGAAAAUAUAUAGUCACUUAAUGAUAGAUGGAAGCUAGUUAAAAAUAACUAGCAGAACAUGAUUUAGUGGAUAGCUUUUAGAAAUAUAAUUAUGCAAAUCGGGUUGGUUGUGAUGUUGUUGUGAUGAUAGGUCCCAACGAGGCCCCACAGAUCCAUUUGGACCAUUAGCGGAAGUUGGAGUUAAGUAAAGAUUCAACAAAUACCGGUGAGUGAACUUGCACAAAAUGUUUUGGGAUUAAGGCAUAUGUGGUUGAUUGAGACAUUUUAAUUGUUUUUCUAUAAAAUGCAUGGGAACAAGCCUUUAGUGAAAUAUUUUUGGUGAUGCGGAACAUGAUUGUGAUGAAUCUCUGUACCUUUAUAUGAUGCUGAUAUGUAUUGCUAAGUAAUUUUGUGUAAUUGAUGUAACCGUGCAUGUGCAGAGUGGGCAGUGCAUAUGCCGAUUGAAUGACGAUGUAGUGACAACUACAACCGUGCAUAUGCGGAGUGGCAGUACAUAUGCCGGUCGAAUGACGAUGUUGUGACACUUACAACUGUGCAUGUGGGGAGUGGGCAAUGCACAUGCCGAUAAUGAUGUGCGUGUGGGGAGUGCAUGUUGGUUGAGGG